GCACUACUGAGGAGUCCAAUUACUAGGACGAAACGACCGUCCAGUGC
rnacentral:hammerhead_ribozyme from 1 species